CAAUAGCGUAUAUUAAAGUUGUUGCGGUAAAAAAGCUCGUAGUUGGAUUUCUGUUGAGAGCGACCGGUCCAUACCAUGUAUGCGUAUCUGGCUUGCUCUCGGCAUCCUCUCGAUAGACGUUACUGCGCUUGAUUGCGUGGUGCGGAUCUCGGGACUUUUACUUUGAGGAAAUUAGAGUGUUCACGGCAGGCUUUCGCCAGAAUACAUUAGCAUGGAAUAAUACUAUAGGAUCUUGGUUCUAUUUUGUUGGUUUCUAGAAUUGAGAUAAUGAUUAAUAGGGACAAUUGGGGGCAUUCGUAUCAACACGUCAGAGGUGGAAUUCUCGGAUUGUGUUGCGACGAACUACUGCGAAAGCAUUUGCCAAGGAUGUUUUCAUUGA
rnacentral:rRNA from 1 species